GAUGAACGCUGGCGGCGUGCCUAAUACAUGCAAGUCGAGCGAACAGACGAGGAGCUUGCUCCUCUGACGUUAGCGGCGGACGGGUGAGUAACACGUGGAUAACCUACCUAUAAGACUGGGAUAACUUCGGGAAACCGGAGCUAAUACCGGAUAAUAUAUUGAACCGUAUGGUUCAAUAGUGAAAGACGGUUUUGCUGUCACUUAUAGAUGGAUCCGCGCCGCAUUAGCUAGUUGGUAAGGUAACGGCUUACCAAGGCAACGAUGCGUAGCCGACCUGAGAGGGUGAUCGGCCACACUGGAACUGAGACACGGUCCAGACUCCUACGGGAGGCAGCAGUAGGGAAUCUUCCGCAAUGGGCGAAAGCCUGACGGAGCAACGCCGCGUGAGUGAUGAAGAUCUUCGGAUCGUAAAACUCUGUUAUUAGGGAAGAACAAAUGUGUAAGUAACUAUGCACGUCUUGACGGUACCUAAUCAGAAAGCCACGGCUAACUACGUG
rnacentral:rRNA from 1 species